rnacentral:rRNA from 1 species
GACGAACGCUGGCGGCGUGCUUAACACAUGCAAGUCGAACGGACAGGCCCUGCUCUUGCUGGGUGCUCGAUUGGCGCACGGGUGAGUAACACGCGUGUAACCUGUCCCUGUCUUUGGGAUAACUUCAGGAAACUGGGGCUAAUAUCGGAUAGGAUCUCCUGCUGCAUGGUGGGGGUUGGUAAGUUUCGGCUGUUGGGGAUGGACUCGCGGCUUAUCAGCUUGUUGGUGGGGUAGUGGCUUACCAAGGUUUUGACGGGUAGCCGGCCUGGGAGGGUGACCGGCCACAUUAGGACUGAGAUACGGCCCAGAAUCCUACGGGAGGCAGCGGUGGAGAGUAUUGCAGAAUGGGCGGAAGCCUGAGACAGCGGCGCCGCGUGCGGAAUGACGGCCUUCGGGUUAAGAACCGCUUUCGCAUGUGACGAGGCGUGAGUGACGGUAAUGGGUAAAAAAGCACCGGCUAACUACGUG